rnacentral:rRNA from 1 species
AGUGAACGCUGGCGGUAGGCCUAACACAUGCCAGUCGAACGGUAGCACAGUAAGAGCUUGCUCUUACGGGUGGCGAGUGGCGGACGGGUGAGGAAUACAUCGGAAUCUACUUUUUCGUGGGGGAUAACGUAGGGAAACUUACGCUAAUACCGCAUACGACCUACGGGUGAAAGCAGGGGAUCUUCGGACCUUGCGCGAUUGAAUGAGCCGAUGUCGGAUUAGCUAGUUGGCGGGGUAAAGGCCCACCAAGGCGACGAUCCGUAGCUGGUCUGAGAGGAUGAUCGGCCACACUGGAACGGAGACACGGUCCAGACUCCUACGGGAGGGAGCAGUGGGGAAUAUUGGACAAUGGGCGCAAGCCUGAUCCAGCCAUACCGCGUGGGUGAAGAAGGCGUUGGGGUUGUAAAGCCCUUUUGUUGGGAGAGAAAAGCAGCAGGUUGAUACGCCGCUGUUCUGACGGUACCCAAAGAAUAAGCACCGGCUAACUUCGUG